AAAAUGGUAGAACAGGGGUAAGCGUGUAGGAGGAGGACCAGGCAAAUCCGGGCCUCAUAUACUCUGAGACGUGAUACCGAGCCGCUUCAGGCGAAGUCAUUAAUCCUAUGCUGCCUAGAAAAGCCCAGUAGCGAGUUGACAUGAUGCCCGUACCCCAAACCAACACAGGUGGACAGGUAGAGCAUACCAAGGCGAGUGGGAUAACUAUGGUUAAGGAACUCGGCAAAUUUCCUCCGUAACUUCGGGAUAAGGAGGACCCCAGUAGCGUGACGAGACUUGCUCUCCGAGCGUGAAGGGGUGGCACAAAAUUGAGGGAAGCGACUGUUUACCAAAAACACAGCAGCGUGCUAAGCCGUAAGGCGCUGUAUACGCUGUGACUCCUGCCCGGUGCUGGAAGGUUACGGGGAUGGGUUAGUCCUUUGGGACGAAGCUCUGAACCUAAGCCCCAGUAAACGGCGGCCGUAACUAUAACGGUCCUAAGGUAGCGAAAUUCCUCGGGUAAGUUCCGACCUGCACGAAUGGAGUAACGACUUCCCUACUGUCUCAACCAUAGACCCAGCGAAAUUGAAGUACGAGUAAAGAUGCUCGUUAGCUGCAGAAGGACGGAAAGACCCCGUGGACCUUUACUAUAACUUGAUGUUGUGUUUUGUCAUAUGUUGUGUAGGAUAGGUGGGAGACAAGGAAGCAUGGACGCUAGUCUGUGUGGAGUCAUCGUUGAAAUACCACCCUGCAUAUGGUGAGGCUCUAACCUAGACCCGUUAUCCGGGUUGGGGACAGCGUCAGGCGGGUAGUUUAACUGGGGCGGUUGCCUCCUAAAGAGUAACGGAGGCGCCCAAAGGUUCCCUCAGCCUGGUUGGCAAUCAGGCGUCGAGUGCAAUGGCAAAAGGGAGCUUGACUGCGAGACCUACAAGUCGAGCAGGAGCGAAAGCUGGGCAUAGUGAUCCGGCGGUUGCGUGUGGAAGCGCCGUCGCUCAACGGAUAAAAGGUACCCCGGGGAUAACAGGCUAAUCUUGCCCAAGCGUCCAUAGCGACGGCAAGGUUUGGCACCUCGAUGUCGGCUCAUCGCAUCCUGGGGCUGAAGCAGGUCCCAAGGGUUGGGCUGUUCGCCCAUUAAAGCGGUACGCGAGCUGGGUUCAGAACGUCGUGAGACAGUUCGGUCCCUAUCCUCUGUAGCCGUAGGUGAAUUGAGGAAAGCUGUCCCUAGUACGCGAGGACCGGGACGGACGCAGCUCUCGUGUGCCAGUUGUCCUGCCAAGGGCAUGGCUGGUUAGCGACCUGCGGAAAGGAUAACCGCUGAAAGCAUCUAAGCGGGAAGCCUCUUCCAAGAUGAAUUCACCCACAGGGUUAACCUGGUAAGGCCCGUGGUAGACCACCACGUUGAUAGGCCGGAAGUGUAAGCGUGGCAACACGUUC
rnacentral:rRNA from 1 species